rnacentral:misc_RNA from 1 species
ACAAACUUGGUCAUUUAGAGGAAGUAAAAGUCGUAACAAGGUAACCGUAGGUGAACCUGCGGUUGGAUCAUUAAUGAAAUUUAAUUUUCAACAAACAACCAUGUGAACCAGUUAACGUAUCUUCGGUAGUUUUUCUACCGAACUUUAUAUAAACUUUAUAUUUUAUUUGAUUUUUUUAAUUAAAUUUCCAAAAAAUAAAAACAACUUUUGACAACGGAUCUCUAGGCUCUCGCAUCGAUGAAGAACGCAGC